CCCUGUCCUCAGCUGCACUGAAACAGAGCAGCGAUGGCACAAGCCAAGAACCAUGGGUGUGAAACCAGGCAGAGUGAGUGACAUGGUGUUCACUUCCACUAAGCCAAAGCAGUUUACAGUUGCUGACGGUGUAAGGAGUACACGUUACAAGGCCGUGUGGGGGG